AUUGAACGCUGGCGGCAGGCCUAACACAUGCAAGUCGAACGAGUGGCGGACGGGUGAGUAAUGUCUGGGAAACUGCCCGACGGAGGGGGAUAACUACUGGAAACGGUAGCUAAUACCGCAUACCAUCGGAUGUGCCCAGAUGGGAUUAGGUUGUAGGUGAGGUAACGGCUCACCUAGGCGACGAUCCCUAGCUGGUCGUAGAGGAGGACCAGCAAAACGGGAACUGAGACACGGUCCAGACUCCUACGGGAGGAAGCAGUGGGGAAGAUUGCAACAUGGGCGCAAGCCUGAUGCAGCCAGGCCGCGUGUAUGAAGAAGGCCUUCGGGGUGGAAAGUACUUGCAGCGGGGAGGCGUUACCCGCAGAAGAAGCACCGGCGAACUCCGUGCCAGCCGCCGCGGUAAUUC
rnacentral:rRNA from 1 species